GACGAACGCUGGCGGCGUGCUUAACACAUGCAAGUCGAACGAAGAGCGACGGAAGCUUGCUUCUAUCAAUCUUAGUGGCGAACGGGUGAGUAACGCGUAAUCAACCUGCCCUUCAGAGGGGGACAACAGUUGGAAACGACUGCUAAUACCGCAUACGAUCUAACCUCGGCAUCGAGGAUAGAUGAAAGGUGGCCUCUACAUGUAAGCUAUCACUGAAGGAGGGGAUUGCGUCUGAUUAGCUAGUUGGAGGGGUAACGGCCCACCAAGGCGAUGAUCAGUAGCCGGUCUGAGAGGAUGGACGGCCACAUUGGGACUGAGACACGGCCCAGGCUCCUACGGGAGGCAGCAGUGGGGAAUCUUCCGCAAUGGACGAAAGUCUGACGGAGCAACGCCGCGUGAGUGAUGACGGCCUUCGGGUUGUAAAGCUCUGUUAAUCGGGACGAAAGGCCUUCUUGCGAAUAGUGAGAAGGAUUGACGGUACCGGAAUAGAAAGCCACGGCUAACUACGUG
rnacentral:rRNA from 1 species